rnacentral:lncRNA from 1 species
AUUUGUUCUAGGGCUAUGGAGAUGCUCAUAAAGGAUUCUCAUUCCUAUUGUAAGCCAGAGAGAAUGCAAUCCAAUGCAAUGUUUCGAUCAUGGAGUCUUUAUUGGACACAGGCUGGCAUGAGUUGAUGGCACCUGAAAAUCAGCAAGGUACAAAUGCUCCUGGGAGGAACAGCAUCUUCAGUCUCUAAACCUUGGUGCAGCUGAGUUUAUUAGAGGUUUUCCAGACCUUAACAAGAGCCUGUGACAGUACUAAGACCCUGGGGAUGGUGCGAAGGAGUCUGGAACCAGGAGGCUGCUGCGUUUUACAGGAUACUGGAGCCCAGUUCUCAAUCAAACGCUAGAGCUCAGAAAGACAUGCCUCUCAGAUCUGUCUACCUUUAAGCAUUUUUUUAAUUAAUAACUGGAUAUUGACCAUUAAAACCAUCACAGGUAUAGGAGUUUGU